AGCAGCCGCGGUAAUUCCAGCUCCAAUAGCGUAUAUUAAAGUUGUUGCAGUUAAAAAGCUCGUAGUUGAAUUUCGGGAUCAAAGGAUCGGUCAUGCCUUGGUAUGUACUGGUUUUAUUGGUUCUCACCUUCUAAAGAACCAUAAUGUCAUUCAUUUGAUGUUAUGGGGAAUUAGGACUGUUACCUUGAAAAAUUAGAGUGUUUAAAGCAGGCUUACGCUUGAAUACAUUAGCAUGGAAUAAUGAAAUAGGACAUCAGAUUCUAUUUUGUUGGUUUCUAGGAUCGAUGUAAUGAUUAAUAGGGAUAGUUGGGGGCAUUAGUAUUCAAUUGUCAGAGGUGAAAUUCUUGGAUUUAUUGAAGACUAACUACUGCGAAAGCAUUUGCCAAGGAUGUUUUCAUUAAUCAAGAACGAAAGUUAGGGGAUCGAAGACGAUCAGAUACCGUCGUAGUCUUAACCAUAAACUAUGCCGACUAGGGAUCGGAUGAUGUUAAUUUAUAAUGACUC
rnacentral:misc_RNA from 1 species